AUGUCUCUACUCCUAUCCCAUCAUCACGUCUCUCCUCUCCUCCAAUCCCAUCAUCAUGUCUCUCCUCUCCUCCAAUCCCAUCAUCAUGUCUCUCCUCCUAUCCAAUCACCAUGUCUCUCCUCCUAUCCAAUCACCAUGUCUCUCCUCCAAUCCCAUCAUCAUGUCUCUCCUCUCCUACAAUCCCAUCAUCAUGUCUCUCCUUCUAGCUCAUCGUCAUGUCUUUCCUUUCCUCCUAUCCCAUCAUCACGUCUCUCCUCUCCUCCUAUCCCAUCAUCAUGUUUCUCCUUCUAUCCCAUCAUCAUGUUUUUCCUCUUAUGCCAUCAUCAUGUCUCUCCUCCUAUCCCAUCAUCAUGUCUCUCCUCUCCUCCUAUCCCAUCAUCAUGUCUCUCCUCUCCUCCAAUCCCAUCAUCAUGUCUCUCCUGUCCUCCUAUCCCAUCAUCAUGUCUCUCAACCUAUCCCAUUAUCAAGUCUCUCUUCAGAUCUCAUCAUCAUGUCUCUCCACCAAUCCAUCAUCAUGUCUCUCCUCUCCUCUGCUCCUAUAACAUUCUCAUGUCUCGCCUCCUAUCCAAACAUCAUGCUUCUCCUCCUAUCCCAUCAUCAUUCUUCUCCUCCUAUCCCAUCAUCAUGUCUUUCCUUUCCUCCUAUCCCAUCAUCAUGUCUCUCCUCUCCUCCUAUCAUCAUGUCUUUCCUCUCCUCCUGUCCCAUCAUCACGUCUCUCCUCUCCUCCUAUCCCGUCAUCACGUCUCUCCUCUCCUCCAAUCCCGUCAUCAUGUCUCUCCUCCUAUCCCAUCAUCAUGUCUCUACUCCGUUCCCAUCAUAAUGUCUCUCCUCUCCUCCUAUAACAUUGUCAUGUCUCUCCUCCUAUCCCAUCAUCAUGUCUUUCCUCUCCUCCUAUCCCAUCAUCAUGUCUCUCCUCCUAUCCCAUCAUCAUGUCUCUCCUCCUAUCUCAUCAUCAUGUCUCUCCUCCUAUCUCAUGAUCAUGUUUCUCCUCCUAUCCCAUCAUCUUGUCUCUCCUCCUAUCCCAUCAUGUCUUUCCUCUCCUCGUAUCCCAUCAUCACGUCUCUCCUCUCCUCCUAUCCCAUCAUCAUGUCUCUCCUCCUAUCCCAUCAUCACUUCUCGCUUCUCUUCCUAUCCCAUCAUCAUGUCUUUCCUCUCCUCCAAUCCCAUCAUCAUUUCUUUCCUCUCCUCCUAUCCCAUCAUCAUGUCUCUCCUCCUAACACACCAUCAUGUCUCUCCUCUUCUCCUGUCUCAUCAUCACGUCUCUCCUCUUCUCCUAUCCCAUCGUCAUGUAUCUCCUCUCCUCCUAUCCCAUCAUCACGUCUCUCCUCUCCUCCUGUCUCAUCAUGA
rnacentral:lncRNA from 8 species